AGACGAUAGGUCGGGGUGUGGAAGCACAGUAAUGUGUGUAGCUAACCGAUACUAAUAGCUCGAUUGAUUUACUUUG
rnacentral:rRNA from 1 species